CCUGUUUGCGAAGGUCAUUCAGAUCUUGUAGCUUCUGACGAUAUAUCUCAACUGUUGACUCCAGUUUAUUUGCUUUAUCAGAGGUAGCCCUAUAACAAUAAAGACUAAGCAUUACUGUAUAUAAACUAGUAUAUACUCAUAAUUUUACUCUGGCUGUAAAAUGAAUCUUCCAAACUAUCACAAAAAAGAAAAAAGAAAAGUAAAUGAGAGUGAGUGAGAAGAGGAAACUGUAAACAUUGUGAGAACUUUGGAAACAGACUCCAGCCUAAAUCCAUUUAAAGUUCAACCUCUUUGGUAUAAAGCCAUCAAAAUAAAAAUGCUUCACACCUGACACACUAAAUUAUCAAACUAUUUCAUAUAUUAGCAUAAUGAAUAAAAAUAAUAAUUUUGUACAUAAAAUUAAACAAUUCAGCUGCUCUGCAGCUUACCGGCCAACCUUCCUUUGUGUAUAACAUUCAGCAUAGUUUCCUUCUAAGUAUUUGACUUACUGUAUUUAGGAAGCUGACUAAAUUUAUAAACUUGUCAGGCAAAGCACUUCCCUUUGGAGCUGUGCUUACCUGACUUAAAUAUAUAAAUAAACAAACAAAUAAACCAAAUCACUUCACUAUCACAAGCAGGUCCAAAUUAAUGGUUAUACAAAUUUUGUUUCAAAUGAGUAUUAGGAACUACAAAAAAUAAUUAAGAAAAAUUAACAAAAAAAAUAAAGAUCACGUGGACAGACUGUUCACUGAGUAACAUUUCAUAAGAAAAAAGUAAAUAUAAACUUUAUAUUGCCAAAUGACAAUCCUCUCUAAAAGAAAGUUAGGAUUCUUGCCUAUAUUUGAUCUAUAGUUUAUUAAAUGUCAAAAUAUGGAUUGAGAAUACAUUUCCUUACACAAAAAUUUCACAAAAUAUGAUAGGUACAAGCAAGUCAAGUUAAACAUAUCUAUAAGUACUCCGUUUACAAAAUUUUAAUUAAAGGUCUCAUUUUGGAUUUAUGGGUUCUAAUGUGAAAAUGUCUUCAGAAGAAUUGAGUAUUAUCCAUGAACUGCAAGCCCAAACAACAAACAUAAAAGAGGUUAAAACUAUCAGCCUGGAUUAAAAACUGAUCAAUACUUGACAUACAGGAAUAAUCCUAUGAAUCCCUGAUUAAAAUAUGAAAUACUUGAAUUGACUAAAUGGCUCAGAAAUGGCAUAAUUAUACUUUUUAAGACAUGUCAUACCUAAGAACAUCUAUUUCAUCUUUCAGGGCUCUUGUUUCUUCCGCAAGACUAGUUAGUUCAUCAUUCCUAUGCUGGAAUUCGAUUAGCUGCUUUUCAAGUUCUUCACAGUGAACACGGUAAUCAUCUUUUGCAGCUUCAAGCCUUGAACAAAUAAAAAAGUAUGCCAACUAAAAUGGGGAAAAAUUAAAGAGCUUCUUUUCCAAGGUUGUAAUUUGAAUUUAAGAAUGCAAAACUGAAACCUUUCUGCUCAUAUGUUCUAAAAGCAGAAGAUAACUCCUCUGGCUAUGACAACCAAAAAAAUGGCUUCACUAUUUUCAAUUCAUUUACUUGGAAUUUGUAAUCAUUUUACUUUUUAUUUAUAAUCAACACAUAAUAAUUGUACAUAACCAUUUUCUUUUGAGCAGAUUAAUGUUAAUUGUGCUCAACUUUUCCCAGAUGCUAAAGCUGCAAUUACCAAAACAAUUUAAAUAUGUAAAUGCUAUACUGAUAACAAGGUAUUUACUUGAAAUGACUGAAUGAAUUGAGUUAAUGAGUCAAAACUGUCCAAUUCACUUUGUUUUUAUAUCAGAUUAAGUAAUAAAAAGUCCUAACCAAAAGA